GAGGGUAUAGCUCAGUGGUAGAGUGUGUGCUUAGCGUGCACAGAGUCCUGGGUUCGAUCCCCAGCACCUCCA
rfam:Camelus ferus unplaced genomic scaffold scaffold704, whole genome shotgun sequence.